CUAAGAGUCGAACCAAGUUAAUUGGCACCCUGCUGUUAGUUUAAUGCACAUUAAUUUUCAUAUAAAAUCAUCGCAUCAUGAUUAACACAAUCUAAAGCCUUAGAAAAAUCGCAAAAAGUGUUUGUAGUGGACUGUUGGCUGUUUAGGCUAGAGUAGACAUUAUUUAGGAGGGAUGUUAUAGCAUCAUUUGAACAUUUGUUAAUUAAUAAUCCAAUUUGAUGGGUAAUAACGUAGUAAGACUAUUAAACUAAAACUGCUAAAACUACGGGAAGAAUCUGUGUAAGUUAGCUUUAGCAUCAGGGAGAUAUGAAAGCGGAUUAUGAGAAGGAGUUACAGAAUUUGAUUAAUUUUUGGCUACAUUCAUAAAGUAAUUAAUAAGGUAAGUAGAGUUUAUGCUCGAUGAAGACGCCUUGUAAAAUGGAUCAGGUUUCUCAAGAAUCAUUAUGAGAAUUGAAUUGAAAUGACUGUAAUACUGCUAAUUUAUAAUUACAAAAAAAAUUGAUGAGGUGUUAUGAACAAACUAACAUUGCUACGGAAAUACUUUGAGGUAUUUUUAACGAAUAUCAACCAAAAAUAUUAUUAUGUUAUAGUGAAUAUUUGUAAUAAUUUUGUUUUAUCUAAUAUUAAUCGUUGCAAUAAAAUUGAAAAUGACAAUAUUUUGAAUAGAAAUAACACGAGCUUUGUUGAAUGUAAUAAUGGCAUUUUACGUUGAAGAAUGUCAAUUUAUAAUAUAAAUUUCGUCUGUUUCCUGACUUUUCAUAAAUAUGUAGGGUAACCCAAAUAAUAAAUUUAUUCUUUUUGUAUUUUACACUGUGUAUUAAGUGUAAAAUGUAAAAUGUGUUCGUGCUUAUUUUAAUCAAUUAUUGUGGCUCAAGUGAGCUCUUUUAAUCAAAAUAGAAUAUCUGAAACAAUAAUGACAUCAAUUUUAAGAGAGUUUUAAAAUAAUUUAAGGUGUAUUAUGAGUACCUCAAAAUUGUGGAUUCCCUUACAUAUAAAAAAAAAACAAACAAGAAAGCAAAGUGGAAAAAUAAUUCGAAAAAAUGAAUAUUUGAACUGUUUAAUUUCUUUCAAAUCACAAACUUUCUUAGAAUGUAAAGUAAACAAAAA